rnacentral:rRNA from 56 species
UUACAGAGGUCUCGUUAACCGAGAUCUCUCAAACGGAAUGAGUACAACGUGAAUCCUUUAACGAGGAUCGACUGGAGGGCAAGCCUGGUGCCAGCAGCCGCGGUAAUUCCAGCUCCAGUAGCGUAUAUUAAAGCUGUUGCGGUUAAAAAGCUCGUAGUUGGAUAUCAGUGCGUUUCGGUUCGGCAUGCCCGGUGCGUUAUGGCGUCCGCGCGAUGACGCCCGGGCUCCCAAAUGUCGGCCCAGCGCAUUCAAUGGCGUCGGACACAGCAGCCGCCUUUCGGGGGGGCCAGCUGGCGACUGGCGGUGUUACCUUGAACAAAUUAGAGUGCUCAAAGCAGGCUCGCAAUGCCUGUAUACAUAUUCAUGGAAUUGGAGAAUACGUCCCUGGCUCGAUUUGGUUGGUUUUGAGAGUCGAAGGGAAAUGAUUAAUAGGGACUGACGGAGGCAUUCGUAUUGCGACGCGAGGGGUGAAAUCCUGUG